rnacentral:rRNA from 1 species
AGCAGCCGCGGUAAUUCCAGCUCCAAUAGCGUAUAUUAAAGUUGUUGCAGUUAAAAAGCUCGUAGUUGAAUUUCGGGAUCAAUUAGUCGGUCGUGCCUCUGGUACGUACUGGUUUUAUUGGUUCCUCCCUUCUGACGAAACAUGAUGUCAUUAAUUUGGUGUCGUGGAGAAUCAGGACUGUUACCUUGAAAAAAUUAGAGUGUUUAUAGCAGGCUAACGCUUGAAUACAUUAGCAUGGAAUAAUGAAAUAGGACGUUCGACCCUAUUUUGUUGGUUUCUAGGAUCGACGUAAUGAUUAAUAGGGAUAGUUGGGGGCAUUAGUAUUCAAUUGUCAGAGGUGAAAUUCUUGGAUUUAUUGAAGACUAACUACUGCGAAAGCAUUUGCCAAGGAUGUUUUCAUUAAUCAAAGAAACGAAAGUUAGGGGAUCGAAGACGAUCAGAUACCGUCGUAGUCUUAACCAUAAACUAUGCCGACUAGGGAUCGGAUGAUGUUAAUUUUUUAAUGACUCAUUCGGCGCCU